GAUCCUUCAUCACUGACCUGGAAUCGUUGCUGAGUAUGAUACAGUGCACAGAGAAGGCUUUUGCUGAAGAUUCCUCAUCUCACCCAGAGAAAAUUUUCCAGAAGUAAUGCAGUUGUCAAGAGUCCACUCCCUAUAAAGUCAUCAAACAUAGAAGAUUAUUUCACAGGAAAGAUGACCAGAGCUGAUACCUGGAACCCAGACAGUUUUGUCGCAGGCUAAGUAUGUGAUUUCUUCUACGUGCCCUCCUACAUCAUGAAACCAUCUACCACGAAGCCUUCACCAGAGCCAAGCAGAUUCUGCACCAUGAUCUUGGACCUCCAGAAUUUGUGUAAAAGUAUUUUCCUGAGCCCAGUGUGGUGGCAUAUGCCUAUAGUCCCAGUGUCUCCAGAGGCUGAAGCAGGAGGAUUGCAAGUUGGAGUCCAGUCUCAGCAACUUAGUGAGAUCCAAACUCAAGGUGCUGGUGUUUGUGUAUAGGUCCUUAUGUGCACUCUUCGUCUGUGCUACACCCCCAACUUUGUACUUUUAAAUUCUUAAAUUGUAGUUUUAAACAGAAAAAGAGUUACUAAAGUCUACAAAAACAAUUUAGUUUCAAUGUAUAUUGUCUGUAAACAUUGUCAUUAUGCAAGGAAUACAUAGCAUAAGGAAUUAUUGCAGGAAUUGUUUUUUACUGAUUAAGAGUCAACUGGAGAAAAAUAUAAUUUAUUUGCUUAAACAACAUAUAACUUGUUACUGAUUUAUAAAAUUUAUAUUCUUGCCCUGAAAGCAAACUCACUGCCAGGGAACAUCAUGAAAUCUCUUACUAAUGCAUUUACUAUUUCACAAAUUGUGUCUCUUUUUUGCUAAAUUUUACCUGCAAAAAAGAUUUCAAACUUAUUGAAGUUUGUCCUACUCAGCAGUUUUGGAACACACUGGAGAAAAAUGACAAGCAUUCCUUCUCUCAAAUCAAGUCUAAUUCAAGUUCUUAUAAUGGUGCAACCUCAGCCAGAACCUGCCACAGAAGAGCUCAUCAGUAAUUCCCUACCUUGUAUACAAGGUGAGGAGAAGAUUAAGGGGCCAGAUAUUCAUUUUGGCAAUCCAGAAAUUUACUUUUUAAAUUAUCCCAUUUCAUCAAAGGAAAAGUUCUAAACCAACUGGAUUUCAAUUUGGAAUAAGGAUGUGGUAAAAAAGAUUUCUGCUAAUUUUGAGGAAGAAAGAGUUUAUUCAUUUUAUAAGAUCAUGUGACUAUCACAUGGAGAGGCAUGAAAUCGGAUUGGUUAUAACAGAAGAUGUUAUAUAGAGAGAAGGCCCAACUUCUGUAACCUCUGUAUAUUUCAGUGUCAUUGGGCAUGUUGUGGUUUGGAUGUGUAAUGUCCUUUAAAGGCUCCUGUGUUGAAAGUUUGGUUCCCAGUGUGGCAAUGUUCAGAGGGAAGUAUUAAUCAUGAAUGCUUUGACUUCAUCAGUGGAUUAAUAAUUUGAUAGCAUUAUUGGGAAGUGAUGGAAACUGUGGUGGGGACUUACUUGGAGAAAGUAGGUCUCUGUAGGCAAACUCUUGGGGACUAUAUUUUAUCUCCGGUCCCUUCCUCUCUCUCUGAUUUCUGGUUGUCAUGAACCUAAAGCAAUGGAGCCAGUUGAUCAUGGACUGCGAUCUCUGAAUCAUAAGCCAAAAUAAAA